GAUGAACGCUAGCUACAGGCUUAACACAUGCCAGUCGAGGGGAAACGACAUCGCAAGCUUGCUUUUGAUGGGCGUCGACCGGCGCACGGGUGAGUAACGCGUAUCCAACCUGCCCAUCACUUGGGAAUAACCUUGCGAAAGUAAGACUAAUACCCAAUGACAUCCCACGAAGACAUCUGAAUGGGAUUAAAGAUUUAUCGGUGAUGGAUGGGGAUGCGUCUGAUUAGCUUGUUGGCGGGGUAACGGCCCACCAAGGCAACGAUCAGUAGGGGUUCUGAGAGGAAGGUCCCCCACAUUGGAACUGAGACACGGUCCAAACUCCUACGGGAGGCAGCAGUGAGGAAUAUUGGUCAAUGGGCGAGAGCCUGAACCAGCCAAGUAGCGUGCAGGAUGACGGCUCUAUGGGUUGUAAACUGCUUUUAUAAGGGAAUAAAGUGGGUCUCGUGAGACUUUUUGCAUGUACCUUAUGAAUAAGGACCGGCUAAUUCCGUG
rnacentral:rRNA from 1 species